GCCGACUUAGCUCAGUUGGUAGAGCGACUGAUUCGUAAUCAGUAGGUCACCGGUUCAAGUCCGGUAGUCGGCUCCA
rnacentral:tRNA from 2 species